UGAGGAAUAUUGGUCAAUGGGCGAGAGCCUGAACCAGCCAAGUAGCGUGCAGGAUGACGGCCCUAUGGGUUGUAAACUGCUUUUAUAAGGGAAUAAAGUUAGUCUCGUGAGACUUUUUGCAUGUACCUUAUGAAUAAGGACCGGCUAAUUCCGUGCCAGCAGCCGCGGUAAUACGGAAGGUCCGGGCGUUAUCCGGAUUUAUUGGGUUUAAAGGGAGCGUAGGCCGGAGAUUAAGCGUGUUGUGAAAUGUAGACGCUCAACGUCUGCACUGCAGCGCGAACUGGUUUCCUUGAGUACGCACAAAGUGGGCGGAAUUCGUGGUGUAGCGGUGAAAUGCUUAGAUAUCACGCAGAACCCCGAUUGCGAAGGCAGCCUGCUAGGGUGCGACAGACGCUGAGGCACGAAAGCGUGGGUAUCGAACAGGAUUAGAUACCCUGGUAGUCCACGCAGUAAACGAUGAAUACUAACUGUUUGCGAUACAAUGUAAGCGGUACAGCGAAAGCGUUAAGUAUUCCACCUGGGGAGUACGCCGGCAACGGUGAAACUCAAAGGAAUUGACGGGGGCCCGCACAAGCGGAGGAACAUGUGGUUUAAUUCGAUGAUACGCGAGGAACCUUACCCGGGCUUGAAUUGCAGAGGAAGGAUUUGGAGACAAUGACGCCCUUCGGGGCCUCUGUGAAGGUGCUGCAUGGUUGUCGUCAGCUCGUGCCGUGAGGUGUCGGCUUAAGUGCCAUAACGAGCGCAACCCCUCUCCUUAGUUGCCAUCAGGUCAUGCUGGGCACUCUGGGGACACUGCCACCGUAAGGUGUGAGGAAGGUGGGGAUGACGUCAAAUCAGCACGGCCCUUACGUCCGGGGCUACACACGUGUUACAAUGGCAGGUACAGAGAGACGGUCCCUUGCAAAAGGGAUCAAAUCCUCAAAGCCUGUCUCAGUUCGGACUGGGGUCUGCAACCCGACCCCACGAAGCUGGAUUCGCUAGUAAUCGCGCAUCAGCCAUGGCGCGGUGAAUACGUUCCC
rnacentral:rRNA from 1 species